AAAACUCUAAGCGGUGGAUCACUCGGCUCAUGGGUCGAUGAAGAACGCAGCAAACUGUGCGUCAUCGUGUGAACUGCAGGACACAUGAACAUCGACAUUUUGAACGCAUAUCGCAGUCCAUGCUGUUAUGUACUUUAAUUAAUUUUAUAGUGCUGCUUGGACUACAUAUGGUUGAGGGUUGUAAGACUAUGCUAAUUAAGUUGCUUAUAAAUUUUUAUAAGCAUAUGGUAUAUUAUUGGAUAAAUAUAAUAAUUUUUAUUCAUAAUAUUAAAAAAUAAAUGAAAAACAUUAUCUCACAUUUGAAUGUGAAAAACGAAGAGAAAUAUUUUCUUUUUCAAUCAAAUAAUACUGAGAAAUGUCUAGCAUAAAAAAUUGAAAUAUUUUUCAUCUAGAAUUGUCUCUUAUUAAUGAUUCGGAAAUAGAAAAAUCUUGGUUAUGUUAUUAUUCUUCGUUGGUUCGUUAAAAAUGGAUAAAUAAAAACUUUGCAUACAAGAAUUAAUAAAAAUGUUAUAACGAAUUUAAUUAAAUGUUUUAUCAUUAUAUAUAAAGAAUUUAUGGCAAGAUAAAGUUAUAUACAACCUCAACUCAUAUGGGACUACCCCUGAAUUUAAGCAUAUUAAUUAGGGGAGGAAAAGAAACUAACAAGGAUUUUCUUAGUAGCGGCGAGCGAAAAGAAAACAGUUCAGCACUAAGUCACUUUGUCUAUAUGGCAAAUGUGAGAUGCAGUGUAUGGAGCGUCAAUAUUCUAGUAUGAGAAAUUAACGAUUUAAGUCCUUCUUAAAUGAGGCCAUUUACCCAUAGAGGGUGCCAGGCCCGUAUAACGUUAAUGAUUACUAGAUGAUGUUUCCAAAGAGUCGUGUUGCUUGAUAGUGCAGCACUAAGAGGGUGGUAAACUCCAUCUAAAACUAAAUAUAACCAUGAGACCGAUAGUAAACAAGUACCGUGAGGGAAAGUUGAAAAGAACUCUGAAUAGAGAGUUAAACAGUACGUGAAACUGCUUAGAGGUUAAGCCCGAUGAACCUGAAUAUCCGUUAUGGAAAAUUCAUCAUUAAAAUUGUAAUAUUUAAAUAAUAUUAUGAGAAUAGUGUGCAUUUUUUCCAUAUAAGGACAUUGUAAUCUAUUAGCAUAUACCAAAUUUAUCAUAAAAUAUAACUUAUAGUUUAUUCCAAUUAAAUUGCUUGCAUUUUAACACAGAAUAAAUGUUAUUAAUUUGAUAAAGUGCUGAUAGAUUUAUAUGAUUACAGUGCGUUAAUUUUUCGGAAUUAUAUAAUGGCAUAAUUAUCAUUGAUUUUUGUGUUUAUUAUAUGCACUUGUAUGAUUAACAAUGCGAAAGAUUCAGGAUACCUUCGGGACCCGUCUUGAAACACGGACCAAGGAGUCUAACAUAUGUGCAAGUUAUUGGGAUAUAAACCUAAUAGCGUAAUUAACUUGACUAAUAAUGGGAUUAGUUUUUUAGCUAUUUAUAGCUAAUUAACACAAUCCGGGGCGUUCUAUAUAGUUAUGUAUAAUGUAUAUUUAUAUUAUUUAUGCCUCUAACUGGAACGUACCUUGAGCAUAUAUGCUGUGACCCGAAAGAUGGUGAACUAUACUUGAUCAGGUUGAAGUCAGGGGAAACCCUGAUGGAAGACCGAAACAGUUCUGACGUGCAAAUCGAUUGUCAGAAUUGAGUAUAGGGGCGAAAGACCAAUCGAACCAUCUAGUAGCUGGUUCCUUCCGAAGUUUCCCUCAGGAUAGCUGGUGCAUUUUAAUAUUAUAUAAAAUAAUCUUAUCUGGUAAAGCGAAUGAUUAGAGGCCUUAGGGUCGAAACGAUCUUAACCUAUUCUCAAACUUUAAAUGGGUAAGAACCUUAACUUUCUUGAUAUGAAGUUCAAGGUUAUGAUAUAAUGUGCCCAGUGGGCCACUUUUGGUAAGCAGAACUGGCGCUGUGGGAUGAACCAAACGUAAUGUUACGGUGCCCAAAUUAACAACUCAUGCAGAUACCAUGAAAGGCGUUGGUUGCUUAAAACAGCAGGACGGUGAUCAUGGAAGUCGAAAUCCGCUAAGGAGUGUGUAACAACUCACCUGCCGAAGCAACUAGCCCUUAAAAUGGAUGGCGCUUAAGUUGUAUACCUAUACAUUACCGCUAAAGUAGAUGAUUUAUAUUACUUGUGAUAUAAAUUUUGAAACUUUAGUGAGUAGGAAGGUACAAUGGUAUGCGUAGAAGUGUUUGGCGUAAGCCUGCAUGGAGCUGCCAUUGGUACAGAUCUUGGUGGUAGUAGCAAAUAAUCGAAUGAGACCUUGGAGGACUGAAGUGGAGAAGGGUUUCGUGUGAACAGUGGUUGAUCACGAGUUAGUCGGUCCUAAGUUCAAGGCGAAAGCCGAAAAUUUUCAAGUAAAACAAAAAUGCCUAACUAUAUAAACAAAGCGAAUUAUAAUACACUUGAAUAAUUUUGAACGAAAGGGAAUACGGUUCCAAUUCCGUAACCUGUUGAGUAUCCGUUUGUUAUUAAAUAUGGGCCUCGUGCUCAUCCUGGCAACAGGAACGACCAUAAAGAAGCCGUCGAGAGAUAUCGGAAGAGUUUUCUUUUCUGUUUUAUAGCCGUACUACCAUGGAAGUCUUUCGCAGAGAGAUAUGGUAGAUGGGCUAGAAGAGCAUGACAUAUACUGUUGUGUCGAUAUUUUCUCCUCGGACCUUGAAAAUUUAUGGUGGGGACACGCAAACUUCUCAACAGGCCGUACCAAUAUCCGCAGCUGGUCUCCAAGGUGAAGAGUCUCUAGUCGAUAGAAUAAUGUAGGUAAGGGAAGUCGGCAAAUUAGAUCCGUAACUUCGGGAUAAGGAUUGGCUCUGAAGAUUGAGAUAGUCGGGCUUGAUUGGGAAACAAUAACAUGGUUUAUGUGCUCGUUCUGGGUAAAUAGAGUUUCUAGCAUUUAUGUUAGUUACUUGUUCCCCGGAUAGUUUAGUUACGUAGCCAAUUGUGGAACUUUCUUGCUAAAAUUUUUAAGAAUACUAUUUGGGUUAAACCAAUUAGUUCUUAUUAAUUAUAACGAUUAUCAAUUAACAAUCAAUUCAGAACUGGCACGGACUUGGGGAAUCCGACUGUCUAAUUAAAACAAAGCAUUGUGAUGGCCCUAGCGGGUGUUGACACAAUGUGAUUUCUGCCAGUGCUCUGAAUGUCAAAGUGAAGAAAUUCAAGUAAGCGCGGGUCAACGGCGGGAGUAACUAUGACUCUCUUAAGGUUAGUGGAGGUCUCGGAAUUCCAUCACUAAGAUGGGUAGCUCCAAUGUUAAGGCUAAGACGCUUGAGUAACAUUAAAUGGCCUCACCUCACGCAAAACGAGGUAGCCAGCUCUUUCCUCGAAGCCGAAAAACAACGGGCCCGAGAUAGAUUAUUAGCUGAACAAAAUGAACUGUUAUCGCGUCCGGCAAUAGAAAAAUAUUGGGCGAACAAGUUGUACCUCUCAGUUGAUGGUAGCGGACUCCGUGAAGCGGGCCAUUAUGGCCCGCAACACGGGUGGGUUAGUCAACCCACGCGUUUAUUAACAGGAAAGGAAUAUAUAGACGGUAUUCGUCUGCGGAUAAAUGCCCUACCCACAAAGUCUCGUACUACAAGGGGAAGGCACGAAUUGGAACGACAGUGUCGUGCAGGAUGUGAUGCUCCCGAAACAACAAACCACAUAAUGCAAAAAUGCUACCGCUCGCAUGGGAGGCGGGUAGCUAGACACAACUGCGUAGUAAAUCGAAUCAAGCGGGGACUUGAGGAGAGAGGCUGCGUGGUCAUUGUUGAACCAAGUCUGCAGUGCGAAUCCGGCCUUAAUAAACCAGACCUGGUGGCACUACGACAAAAUCACAUUGAUGUGAUCGACAUACAAAUUGUGACAGACGGACACUCUAUGGAUGAUGCGCACCAGCGCAAAAUCAAUAGAUACGACA
rnacentral:rRNA from 1 species